rnacentral:rRNA from 1 species
AUGGAUUUGCAAAAAAAGUUUUCUUGCUCAGGUAUAUUUAUAAAGGGCAAAGCAUGCUCUGCAACAAUUCUGACUUCAGCAAGUUUGGUUAGAGUUCCUGGCAGUGCACACAUGAUUGAUGAGAACUUGAGGAUUGAAGUUGUCCUUCCAAAUGGAUUUCUAGUCGUAGGGAUAUUGAACUGUUAUAAUUUACACUACAAUGUUGCUCUUAUUGACAUCAUGGGAUUUUGGCGUCCUCGGACAAUAAAAAUCAGUGGGGAUCCAGUUACCUCAUCUAUGGACGUAAUAGCUGUGGGUAGUCUUUUUGCACAUCGCAAACUAAUGGCUGUCGAGGGGACGGUGUUGAUUGGCAAACAAAGCGAACUUGAUUGCAUAGAACUUUGUGUCUCCACCUGUAAAAUCACCAAGGCUGGGAUUGGGGGGGCUCUUAUUGACAAUGAUGGGAAUUUUGUUGGAAUGAACUUUUAUGAUGAGGAAGAAACUCCGUUCCUGCCGAGGGAUGUUAUUCACCGCCUCUUAACUAAGAAACGUUAUGCCUCUAUG